AUCGGGACAUUUAAACUGAACCUAAAUUAAGGUAAUAACAUAUGUAAAGUAUGUUAUUUUCUGUUGUUCUAAAGCCCCAAUGUUUUGGUUCAUUUUAGAAAAACAGGGGCCACUCUUAGGUUCCAUUUUGAUUGAACUGAAACUGCGUACAUAGUUAACACCAUUGAGACAGACUGAGUAGCUAACCACUUAUAAGGUUUUCCAGAAAAGAAUGAUGAAAUAAAAGGGGACACCAUCGAGACAAACUGAGUAGCUAACUCGAAGUCUUGUGCAUGGAAGGAAAUUGGGAUAUUUGCUAAUUCUGUACUAGUCAAAACGUAUGUGUAGAUAUUCUGAUCAUUCUGGUUCAUGUCCUACUUAAUUAAGGUCUUCUUUUAUAGGCCUUGCGCAAAUGAUAUCUCUACUCUUACAAAAAACCGAGUUGGUGAUGAUGGUGUGCCUGCCAUCCCGCAAUAUAGACCGUCCGAUCUAUAUCUGACGGAUAGAAAGCAAACUAUGACAAUUUUGCAAAAAGAUACCCGCACCCCUCUCCAAAUUUGCAGAUAAGGACUUCCCUCGUUCAUCUUUGUCUCCCACGAGAUAAACAGCUCGUAUAAAUGCAUCUUGAUGUUCCAUGCAACGCAUGGGCCUCUUGCUAGUGAUUAUUUAACAACUUAGUUUCAUGGCGUUGGAUCUCACGUGAAUAAACUAUAUGUCGAAGUGUUUGCUGUUCUUUGCUUAACUAGAUAUCAAAGAAUAAACAACAAGCUCGUAUACAAUAUGUCAAAUUAUAAUCAAAUAACAAGCUCAAUAAUGAUAAGAGCUUUACAAGUAACAAGAUCCAUUACAAGAUGUCAAAGUUUUAAUAUAAAUUGUACCAACUUAUAAUGGUGGAUUCUAAUUAUAGUGAACUAGAUAAGCGGCCUUCGGUGACAUUUUGAGCUCUUGUCUGUUGUCUUCAACUGACAGUGUGUAGCAGCCAACAAUGUGAAUUUAUGAUGGUUAUUUAGUUUAUUUUAUUGUACAUUCUGCAGAGCUUUCCUCAUUAAUUCAAUUUUUCACAAAAUUCAGAAGGCUAUUGUAUUGCUGCGUAAACUGGAGCAAGGCCGUACCAUUUCCAUCUGACAAAACAUCCUGAAUGUCUUGUCUAGUUCUUACACUCUAACAAGGCCAUACAUAACGGUGUUGUAAGAUGAAAGUCUGGACAUGAUUUAGCUUUUAAACUUACAGUAUACUGCUCUUACAAUGUUGUAAGAUUGAACGUCGAAGAUACUACACUUCGAUACAGAUCUAUAUCAUUAUUUGAGAAGUAAACUUUUAAUCUGCAGUAGACUUGUAUCUACUAAACAUUUUAAUUUCUUGAUUAAUUUUCUGUAUCUAUCACUUCAAUGGUUACAGGUUGAUCUUUACUUGCAAUCUAAUUUGCAUAUUCGUGUGUGUUCUUCAG
rnacentral:lncRNA from 1 species